AGACAUCUUUAGGCUAGGUUCUUAUUUUUCUCCCUAACCUCCUUGAUGUUCUGUGUAGAUUUGAGAGCAUAGAACAUAAAUCGAAGCAUGCAUGAUAGGAAAAGAUUGAGGAGAAGAAGAUCUACAUAAUGGUUUAAGUGGUUCGGCCAUAAAGACCUACAUCCACGGUUAAAGGAAAAAAAUAGGUUAAAAGUUGGAAGCAGGGUUUGAUUGAAGGAAGAUUUUGGAGAUUGGAAUCUUGAGGGUGGUUAUUGCUCAGGCUUCGUUAGGGAAUUGAAUUCAAAGAUUGAUUAUUGAAGACUGCCGCUUGGAUCGAUAUCUGAAUCUAGUAUCGAAGUAAAGGUAGAGAUGCACCGACGAAUGACAAGCGGAAUCCGUGAUCGAGCCAUUGGGAACAGU